GGUCAAUGAUGUUUUGGCAUGUAUUAUCUGAUUUUGAAGCUGAUGUGUAAAAAUACUUAAGCUCUAGAAUUACGCUGAGACCUU
rnacentral:snoRNA from 1 species